rnacentral:rRNA from 1 species
GAUGAACGCUGGCGGCGUGCCUAAUACAUGCAAGUCGAGCGAACAGAUAAGGAGCUUGCUCCUUUGACGUUAGCGGCGGACGGGUGAGUAACACGUGGGUAACCUACCUAUAAGACUGGAAUAACUCCGGGAAACCGGGGCUAAUGCCGGAUAACAUUUAGAACCGCAUGGUUCUAAAGUGAAAGAUGGUUUUGCUAUCACUUAUAGAUGGACCCGCGCCGUAUUAGCUAGUUGGUAAGGUAACGGCUUACCAAGGCAACGAUACGUAGCCGACCUGAGAGGGUGAUCGGCCACACUAGAACUGAGACACGGUCCAGAGUCCAACGGAAGGCAGCAGUAGGGAAUCUUCCGCAAUAGGCGAAAGCCUGACGGAGCAACGCCGCGUGAGUGAUGAAGGUCUUCGGAUCGUAAAACUCUGUUAUUAGGGAAGAACAAAUGUGUAAGUAACUGUGCACGUCUUGACGGUACCUAAUCAGAAAGCCACGGCUAACUACGUG